GCUUUGUCGAACCACACCAGGCAGGAUGAUGCCAUCCAGCGGGGGGGUCGCCAGCUCCAGCACUGAGUCAGGGAUGACAGACGGGCGUCUUUCAGAAGCGACAUGCCCAGGACAAGCAACCCAGUGGGAAUUAGCCUGCUGUGUGAUGCCCACAGCGUCACUCACGCCUCACCCGAGACUCCUCACUGUCCCAGAACGGAUUCCACGCCGCGUUCUGGGCCCUGUACAAACGCUGCUCUUAUUUGCUUCCCUCGUGCCAACUGAGAUCCUACCCCACUCACAAGGGCCCGGAGGUAGGAAAUGGUUGCCACCUUUUUCUUUCCUUAGUGGGGUUUGAACUCAGGAUUCCCGCUUGCUAGGUAAACAGUCUAUCUGUUCCUAACCCGGCUCUCCUUUCACCUUUAACGUUAGACACAAGGCUAUCCAAGGACGCAGAGAAAGCCCAGAGAAACCACAGAGCCCUGACAAGAGCUUCCCAACCAAUAGGGAACACUGUCGUUGGUAUUCAGGCAGCUGCACUGGCCUGUCCUUGGGGUUCUGACGGAUACGCCCUCAGCUGCAGCCACUCAGAGCAGCACCUGUGCUCACUCACUGUGUUCCCUUUUAGAAGGUCCCGCCCACCUCCCUCCUUCUCUCUCUCUCUUCCUCUCCCUCUCUCUGUUCCCCCUUCUCAUUUCUUUCUCUCCCCCUUUCCUCUCUCCUGCUCCCAUCCCCAGAGGCCGGUCUCUCCCCAACCCCGUUUGUGAUCCCUUUCCCUAAUUAAAAAAAAAAAAAAAAAAAAAAAAA